UCCUUGACUGCAGGGCGCUCCAAGGAACAUCGAAAACGCUGCACAGAGCAAGCUUUUUAUAAUAAGCCUUCUGAUGGAACUCGGUGCCUGUUGCCCUCGUAUCGAUGCUGCUGGGCCCAUAGUGCAUGCUAUCAAUACGCAUACUAAAGCCAAAAAUAUUAUUUCAUGGCUUGCAAGUGAUAAGCUCCUUUAUCAAAAGUUCACACAACUCCAGGCAGGGUUUUGCGUACAUUAUAACAUGCUACGGCAAACGUACCGCUGCCCAAGGUGUAAGCAGAAUAUCG
rnacentral:lncRNA from 1 species